UUGAUCCUGGCUCAGAACGAACGCUGGCGGCGUGCUUAACACAUGCAAGUCGAACGCGAAAGUUCCUUCGGGAGACGAGUAGAGUGGCGCACGGGUGAGUAACGCGUAAGUAAUCUGCCCCUGUGUUCGGAAUAACCCACCGAAAGGUGUGCUAAUACCGGAUACGCUGGAAACAGGAAAGAUGGCCUCUUCAUGAAAGCUAUCGCACAGGGAGGAGCUUGCGUACCAUUAGCUGGUUGGUAGGGUAAAGGCCUACCAAGGCGACGAUGGUUAGCGGGUCUGAGAGGAUGAUCCGCCACACUGGAACUGAAACACGGACCAGACUCCUACGGGAGGCAGCAGUGAGGAAUAUUGCGCAAUGGGGGAAACCCUGACGCAGCGACGCCGCGUGGAUGAUGAAGGCCUUCGGGUCGUAAAAUCCUGUCAGAUGGGAAGAAAUGCCUGCAGGUUAACAGCCUGUGAGUUUGACGGUACCAUCAAAGGAAGCACCGGCUAACUCCGUGCCAGCAGCCGCGGUAAUACGGAGGGUGCAAGCGUUGUUCGGAAUUACUGGGCGUAAAGCGCGCGUAGGCGGUUUGUUAAGUCAGAUGUGAAAGCCCAUGGCUCAACCAUGGACGUGCAUUUGAUACUGGCAGGCUUGAGUACUGGAGGGGGUAGUGGAAUUCCCGGUGUAGAGGUGAAAUUCGUAGAUAUCGGGAGGAAUACCGGUGGCGAAGGCGACUACCUGGCCAGAUACUGACGCUGAUGUGCGAAAGCAUGGGGAGCAAACAGGAUUAGAUACCCUGGUAGUCCAUGCCGUAAACGAUGUGAACUAGGUGUAGGGAUGGUUAAUCGUCUCAUUGCCGCAGCUAACGCAUUAAGUUCACCGACUGGGGAGUACCGGUCGCAAGAUUAAAACUCA
rnacentral:rRNA from 1 species